GGGGCUGCAACUCAGCUGACAAGUAGCAAAAAAACUCCGUCUCUCACUGUUGUUUUUACUGCUUUCAGAAAUGGUUCAGUGUCAUCGGGAAAAGUCCAUUAGCAUCACAACCGUGAGCUAACUAUAGGCUAACUAUUAGAGAUUGUGUGCCCAUUGACUGCCAUUAUAUGACUGACAGACUACAACGGUUUGAGUUAAAAACCUUUGUUUGUGUUCUACUGAAGAAACAAAGUCACCUACUUCUUGGAUGCCCUGGGGCAGAGUUGGAGGAGACCUCUUGUUGAAGAACAUCUCCAAGACACUAUGAACCAUCUGAGUAG